CCGACCUGACAGGCCACAUGCCGCUGCUGUACACCCUGGCCGCAGGACACAGAGCACUGAGGAGACAAGACAUCGUAAGUGGGUGCUGGGGCUCCUCUGUGGGAGAGGAAGGUCGCAGCAGAGGGAAGUGCUGUCCCACCCAAUCCCAUGACGUGUACGGUUGUCACCACUGAAAGGGACAGCACAGUCCGGUCUGAAACCUGAGCUCACUGCUCAUCAGCGCUGCUGAGGGAGGCAGUAUGACUAUGCCGGUGUUUCUCCCCAUCAAGAGAGAACCGAAAGCCAAAAGAAUCUGCAGAUGCUUUACCUGGAAAGUGGCAAAGGUGAAGGUGGAGUAAGGAGCCCUCUGUGCCUGCCACAGGAGCGUGUAUGAAAGCAGUCUGGAUGGCAGGGAGGAUGCUGGGUGAGACACAGGUCCCAGGGCCUGUGCCAGCUGUGCACCGCAGUCAAGUUCAGAGCUCGACACGCCAGUCACCAUCAGAAAUGUUCCCACAGGAAGGCAUCAGUGCACUCUGCUCCUGACUCUCCCAUGCUUGAUCUGUGUCCACCCCGUGGACAUCCUCUUCCCAAAGAGCUGUCCACGUGUUCAUCAGCCACUGAAGGACACUGAGACAGACAGCAUUUCAUCGCCACACCCAGUCCUGCUCACUGCCUGUCUGGCCUCCCACCCGAGAGCUCCAGGUAAAGCAGCGUCUCUGCAGGUCAGCUGUCACAUGCUGUUGGCCUCUGCGUCCCUGGGUGGUUCCAUAUCCAUAGAUCCGACCAAUCCGGGGCACAGUUAUUUGCAGCACCGCUAGGUGUUCUAAGUGGCCUGGAGAUGGCUUUACAUACCGAGGAGGACCGCAUGGGCUGUACGCACGCACUGUUUUCUGAAAGACACUUGAGCACUCCCACCUGUGGAGCCGCAAUCUGUCAGGGGUCCUAGGACUAAUCCCCCAGGUACCAAGGGACGAAAGUUUAUACCUAUUUCAGGAAGCCGCUCAUCGAAUCACUUGGGUUUGAGGUGGAAGUAAUGUCACCCCAGGACUGAGAUGUGCACGAGUAUCUGAACCAACAUCGUAACAUCUGAGCUAACCUCAAAACAGAAGGGGAGAGGGGCAUUUUACCAAUUAUUGAAUCAGGUGCUCACCCUCCAGCUUUCAACUGCUUUGCUGACAGUUCAGACGGCGGAGUGCCUCUCAGUCUGCAUUAUUUGAGUGCUUCCUGUCUCUCCUUGUCCCCCACACCUACUGAUAAAGAAGACUCAAAAGCACCACCAUGAAAGUAACACGGUGAGAAGCAACGAAAACCAGCCAAUGUGUCAAUGGCUUUCAACAUGGAAGACUUGUCUUUAGAAGUGGUAACAAUUAUGUUCAAUGGUUUUCUGCAAAUUUAAAUGAUCCUGUACUACUCUGAGAGUUAUUCCAACAGAAAUUCAAGAACUGAGGCAGAAGACUGUGGUAGUUAUGCACCCAGUCCAUUGUCUGAGCUGCUGUGGUCUUCUGAGUUGCUGCAAUGGCCUGGCCUUCUAGACAUUUCCCUGCCUCCAUCAUUUUGUGUGUCAUAUUUGAGUUUGAACCCAGGGCCUCGCACAUGCUAGGCAACCACUCCACCACUGAGCGAUUUUUGAGCUAGGGUCUCUUUAAAUUGCCCAGGGUGGCCGCCAACUUACAAUCCUCGGCUUCCGCCUCCCAAGCAGCUAGGGUCACAGGUUUGUGCCACUGCAUGUGAGUCCUACUUCUGUCUUUGCUUCGCUUAUAGCCUCCCUGAAUUCAGAAGCCAGAGCCGUCCUUUCAGAACAAAUUCAUGUUCUUAUUCAACACCGAGUCCCACUGCAGUGGCUUCUAUCUCAAAGUGAAAGCAAAACUCUGCCCAGGGCGUGCCCCUCUCCUGUCCUGCCCACAGGACACCUUUGUGCUGCCUCCCUCUAAACUGCACACCCUGUCCCUCUUCACCCCACCACCCCUGUCUUCCCAUCACUCAGAUGCUCCCGGCAGCACUCCUAUCCGGGUGCGCACAUUCUUUGCUUUUGUAUUUUCCCAUAUCUUUGUUCAAAUUGCACCUUCUGAAUGGAAAACCUCCUUAAAAUAAUAGUCCCACCCCUCUUCCGUGCUGUCCCUGUCCCUUUUCCCUGCUGAGUGUUACCUGUAAUGCUUUUCACCUUCCUCGCUUUCCUUCUGGGUUGUUAUUUAUAGGCUGCUGUCCUACUAGGAUAGAAGCUUGAUGGGUUUUCGGGUUUUGUGUGUUUGUUCCAUCCCCAGUGCCCAGAACAGUGUCUGGUGUUUGCAAAACACUCAGCUACAGAUGAAUGCACACAUGGAUAUUAUCUAGUAGAACCCAGAGCCACUUAUAGCACAGAAUACUUAAGGAUUGCAAAGCUUUCUGCCCUAUGUUCAGUUUACUGUAAAAACCAAAUAAAUAACUAUUGCUCUC